GACGAACGCUGGCGGCGUGCCUAAUACAUGCAAGUCGAACGAGAGCGCCCGGUGCUUGCACUGGUCAAUCUAGUGGCGAACGGGUGAGUAACACGUGGGUAACCUGCUCAUCAGAGGGGGAUAACAUCCGGAAACGGAUGCUAAAACCGCAUAGGUCUUCGAGCCGCAUGGCUUGAAGAGGAAAAGAGGCGCAAGCUUCUGCUGAUGGAUGGACCCGCGGUGCAUUAGCUAGUUGGUGAGGUAACGGCUCACCAAGGCCGUGAUGCAUAGCCGACCUGAGAGGGUGAUCGGCCACAUUGGGACUGAGACACGGCCCAAACUCCUACGGGAGGCAGCAGUAGGGAAUCUUCCGCAAUGGACGCAAGUCUGACGGAGCAACGCCGCGUGAGUGAAGAAGGUUUUCGGAUCGUAAAACUCUGUUGUUAGAGAAGAACAAGUGCUAGAGUAACUGUUAGCGCCUUGACGGUAGCUAACCAGAAAGCCACGGCUAACUACGUG
rnacentral:rRNA from 1 species